rnacentral:rRNA from 1 species
UACAGAGGUCUCAAGCGUUGUUCGGAUUCAUUGGGCGUAAAGGGUGCGUAGGCGGCGUGGUAAGUCGGGUGUGAAAUCUCGGAGCUUAACUCCGAAACUGCAUUCGAUACUGCCGUGCUUGAGGACUGGAGAGGAGACUGGAAUUUACGGUGUAGCGGUGAAAUGCGUAGAUAUCGUAAGGAAGACCAGUGGCGAAGGCGGGUCUCUGGACAGUUCCUGACACUGAGACACGAAGGCCAGGGGAGCAAACGGG